UACGGAGGGGGCUAGCGUUGUUCGGAAUUACUGGGCGUAAAGCGCACGUAGGCGGCUUGUUAAGUCAGGGGUGAAAUCCCGGAGCUCAACUCCGGAACUGCCUUUGAUACUGGCAAUCUAGAGACUGGAAGAGGUUAGUGGAAUUCCCAGUGUAGAGGUGAAAUUCGUAGAUAUUGGGAAGAACACCAGUGGCGAAGGCGGCUAACUGGUCCAGUACUGACGCUGAGGUGCGAAAGCGUGGGGAGCAAACAGG
rnacentral:rRNA from 1 species